rnacentral:rRNA from 1 species
CCCAGCAGCUAUAUCACCCUGCAGCUCUCAACUUGCUACCCGCUGAAGCUAAGCAGGGUUGAGCCUAGUCAGUACCUGGAUGGAGACCUCCUAGGAAGCUAUGGUUGCUGCUGGAA